rnacentral:rRNA from 1 species
CCUACGGGUGGCAGCAGUGGGGAAUAUUGGACAAUGGGCGAAAGCCUGAUCCAGCCAUGCCGCGUGUGUGAAGAAGGCCUUCGGGUUGUAAAGCACUUUCAGUGGGGAAGAAAGCCUUGGGGCUAAUACCCUCGAGGAAGGACAUCACCCACAGAAGAAGCACCGGCUAACUCCGUGCCAGCAGCCGCGGUAAUACGGAGGGUGCGAGCGUUAAUCGGAAUUACUGGGCGUAAAGCGCGCGUAGGCGGUCUGAUAAGCCGGUUGUGAAAGCCCCGGGCUCAACCUGGGAACGGCAUCCGGAACUGUCGAGCUAGAGUGCAGGAGAGGAAGGUAGAAUUCCCGGUGUAGCGGUGAAAUGCGUAGAGAUCGGGAGGAAUACCAGUGGCGAAGGCAGCCUUCUGGACUUGCACUGACGCUGAGGUGCGAAAGCGUGGGUAGCAAACAGGAUUAGAUACCCCAGUAGUC